AGAAUCAACGCUGGCGGCGUGCCUAACACAUGCAAGUCGCACGAGAAAGGGACUUCGGUCCUGAGUACAGUGGCGCACGGGUGAGUAACACGUGAAUAAUCUACCUCCGAGUGGGGAAUAACUGAGAGAAAUCUUAGCUAAUACCGCAUAACACUUACGAGUCAAAGCAGCAAUGCGCUUGGAGAGGAGUUCGCGGCAGAUUAGUUAGUUGGCGGGGUAAUGGCCCACCAAGACGAUGAUCUGUAUCCGGCCUGAGAGGGCGCACGGACACACUGGAACUGAAACACGGUCCAGACUCCUACGGGAGGCAGCAGUGGGGAAUUUUGCGCAAUGGGGGAAACCCUGACGCAGCAACGCCGCGUGGAGGAUGAAAUAUCUUGGUAUGUAAACUCCUUUCGAUGGGAAGAUAAUGACGGUACCAUAGAGAAGCCCGGCUAACUUCGCGCCAGCAGCCGCGGUAA
rnacentral:rRNA from 1 species